rnacentral:rRNA from 1 species
UACGGAGGGUGCAAACGUUGCUCGGAAUCAUUGGGCGUAAAGCGCACGUAGGCGGUCCAGUAAGUCGGGAGUGAAAAGCCCUCGGCUUAACCGGGGAAGUGCUUUCGAAACUACUGGACUUGAAUACCGGAGAGGGUCGCGGAAUUCCCGGUGUAGAGGUGAAAUUCGUAGAUAUCGGGAGGAACACCAGUGGCGAAGGCGGCGACCUGGACGGAUAUUGACGCUGAGGUGCGAAAGCGUGGGGAGCAAACAGGG